GCAUCCUUCGGGGUUGCACGCGAUAAAAUUGGAACGAUACAGAGAAGUUGGUUUUUACCGCCACAGCCAAUGAACCGCUUAGUAAUAUUUCCCCACGCCACAUAUAGCCUGCUAAUUACAUAAUCACACUGAUUAGCAUGGUCCCUGCACAAGGAUGACACGCUUUUCCGGAGUGGUAGACCUACGGGUCUCAAUAUUUAU
rnacentral:snRNA from 1 species